rnacentral:ncRNA from 1 species
UAAAAAGCUAAGAAGAGAAAUAGUAAAAGAUAGUAUUUUUUACAGAGAGGAAACACUUGGUGAAAGUUUCUAAAAAUUAUUCUUUGAACCAGUCUCAGAGCUUAAGAAUGGUAAAAAGUUCUUACGGGAAGGACCGUUACAUCCUAUAAAGAGAAUUGAUAAAAUUACUUAUCAAUUAACUAGAGUGGUACCGCGGAAAUAUAACCUUUCGUCUCUAUA